UUAGUGCUGGCGUAUAUAAGACGCACGGGAAAAGGAUCGGCGCUGGCUAUCUACCGUGUGUAUUUAUAUAUAUAUAUGUGCGUGUGCGUGUACUGACAACUAUCUCAGUCUAUCAUCGCUCUCCUUCUAAUUUUGCGCUCUUCGCAGGAACGGACCGUACACACACAUGAUGCAGCCGUUGCUGAUGCUCAGCUUUUGCGUGGCGUGCGCCGUGGCGUCGCUACCCCCACCCCCGGUUCUCCCGAGCCUCUCCUCUAACACAUAUGAAAAUCCCGCUGCAAGGAGAAUAGAGGCUCGCUUCAGAGAUCUGGCACGACCGGGAGGAAGCAGGGCCUACUUUCGCCCACCUGCGAACGUGUACCGUGGACCGCGAGCGCAUCCCACGCCCAUCGUCGCUCCGGUCUCUGCUGUGACGAACGUGAAAUACUCCAAGCCAACGCAACCCUACGAUAGACCGCCGCUGGGCGGACCGCCCCCUGGCUACAAGAGAAGCGGGAAACACUACGAGCUCGUUCCAGUUCACGAACACGAGAUGUGGAAGCCCUCGAGCUAUUCCUCAAGUCCAUCACCUGCCACCUAAAGACGGCCAAGCAUCAAGUAC